rnacentral:rRNA from 1 species
AACGAACGCUGGCGGCAUGCCUAACACACGCAAGUCGAACGAGACCUUCGGGUCUAGUGGCGCACGGGUGCGUAACGCGUGGGAAUCUGCCCUUGGGUGCGGAAUAACAGUUAGAAAUGACUGCUAAUACCGCAUAAUGACUCCGGUCCAAAGAUUUAUCGCCCAAGGAUGAGCCCGCGUCGGAUUAGCUACUUGGUGAGGUAAAAGCUCACCAAGGCGACGAUCCGUAGCUGGUCUGAGAGGAUGAUCAGCCACACUGGGACUGAGACACGGCCCAGACUCCUACGGGAGGCAGCAGUGGGGAAUAUUGGACAAUGGGCGAAAGCCUGAUCCAGCAAUGCCGCGUGAGUGAUGAAGGCCUUAGGGUUGUAAAGCUCUUUUACCCGGGAUGAUAAUGACAGUACCGGGAGAACAAGCCCCGGCUAACUCCGUGCCAGCCGCCGCCGUAAAAC